CAAGACAUCAUAAGUUCUGGUUCAGGACUCGCUGCUUUCCAGUAGCACGAUACUGAACGUGCAGAAAAGUUGUUGGUCAACGGUGAUCAUGUGUAAAGAAUUUUGUUUGAUGCACUGCCUGCUGCAAUUACCAGCAUUGGUCCAAGGAGCCAAGAAGCAUUCGACCAAGUUGUAAGUUCCGUAGAACAAAAAAGAUAUUGGCAUGAAAGAUAGAAAAUGAAAUGAAUCACAACAUAAAUAUAAAAGAAAUUAAAAAGCUUUCCACCAAGUUUUAAGUUGCCUAGGACAAACAUGAAUAACUUUUGGCAUUUGGAAAUUUUAUGAAGAAAAAACAGAAAUGAAUUACAAACACAAAUGUAAAAGCCAAGAAAUUAACAAACUUUUCAGUAAGAUGUAAGUUUCCUAGGACAAAUGAGAGAUUAAGCUGGCAUGAAAUUUUAAAAAGAAAGGAAAUUAAAUGAAUUUGAAACGCAAAUAUAAAUGCAUUGGAUUAAGAAAUUAUAAAGCUUUCCACCAAGUUGUAAGAACAAAUGAAACUGGCAUAAAACGUUACAAUGGAAGGAAAAGGUAUUAGGAUCAUCAUCAUUCCGAAACCACUCGUCGUGACUUACUUUCUUCAGUCACUCGAGCCUACGGAUUAAACGAUUCAACUAAUACACCAAAAUAAUUAUGGGUUAGAACUCUAGCAACAUCAUUUGGAGAUCAUUUGGAGAUUCGCAUAAGCACGAGAUUCUUACAAUAAUUUUAUCCUAGUUGUGGACUUUCAUAAGUAAUUUUAUGUAUUUAGUAUGUAAUUUAUAAGAAUGUUAUUCUACAACAGUAUAUACCCACUUACAUGUACAUGUUUAAUUGUCUCAACUAAGGUUUAUAACCUGCUGCUUCCUAAAUAUUGGAGUUGAUGAAUUGACAAUUAUAACAAGUAUCUAAAGACAUAGUUGUGUAGUGUAGUUUUACAUAAUUUUUAUCUUCAAUGGGUUAUAAAUCCUAUUUAUUAUGUUUAUUACUGGCUCUUCUUCAUUUUGGUUUGGUAAGAUUAGUGAUGAGGUCGAUUGUUUCUUGAUGAUUCAGGAUUGCACAUAAUUAGUUUUUAUUCUGUUCUUUGCUAUACAAAAUGUAAUUGUUUUUGCUUUUCCUGCUAAAGUAUAGGAUGUGAUGUUAGUCCGAUCCGACUGAAUGUAUGUCCUGAUCUUCUGGCUAAGUUUUGCCCUCAUACUCUUAUUUCUAGUAAAUAAUGCCACGGUACAUGGUCCUUCAGGUUUUGGUCUGCAGCGGCGGUGGCACUGUGAUUAUAAGUUUUAAUUAGUACAUCUAAUUUUGGACAUCCAAAUUCUUCAAUGUUAACACUCAGAUGCCCAUAAUUUAUUUUAUUUAAAUAUGUCUUUUCACAGACACCACCUUUGUAAGCUACUUUCCCAUUCAUAGAAUCGGCGGUAUGACAAAGGUACUCCAAUACACGAAAAAUUUCCUUAGAUUCCAAAUCAUCUUUGUAAUCUCCGAAAUCUAAAAAGAUUUAUUUGUUUGGUUUUUAGUACAUCACGUGUUUUCAUUAGUUUUAUGUUAGAAUACAAUUUUCUUUUAGUACUAAUACUUAGAUGUACAUAUUUUUGUAUAUGUCUACAAGAACAGUUCAAUGCCAAAUUAAAAAGAUUAUUAUACUUUCCGCUACUGAUUUUCCAAUUCAGCAGCUCCAACUCAUCCCCCCAUGUGUAUUUUAUAUUAAAAUCAUCAGGAUGUACAGGUUCUGGAACUCUUCCUUUACAUGUAUUACGAUUUUUUAAAAAACGUUCCAAUUUGUUAAAAGUUUUAUUUGUUUUAAUAAUUGGCUGUGCCGUGAACAAUUUUGGUCUGCAGCGGCGGUGGCACUGUGAUUAUAAGUUUUAAUUAGUACAUCUAAUUUUGGACAUCCAAAUUCUUCAAUGUUAACACUCAGAUGCCCAUAAUUUAUUUUAUUUAAAUAAGUCUUUUCACAAGUACCACCUUUGUAAGCUACCUUCCCAUUCACAGACUCGGCGGUACGACAAAGGUACUCCAAUAUACGAAAAAUUUCCUUAGAUUCCAAAUCAUCUUUGUAAUCUCUGAAAUCUAAUCCAUGCAGGUGAUUUCUUAACCAUACCGCCGUUCGUCGGUCUUUAUCAGACAGGGAUCUCAACGAAUCCACUUUAAAGUAAUGUAAAUACGUACGUUCAGAAUUCGUGUAUUAUUAUGGCCAAUUCUUUGGGAACAAACUGUAUGUUGACAUUGAACCCAUAAAAAAAAAAUUUACCUCCAUUUGUGGGCAGUGAGCAGGUCACUUAUUAUUUAAUAAUUGGCUGUGCCGUGAACAGUUUGUUAAAAUUAUUAUUUGUUUGGCUUCUGACGUAAAUUAACAAUUAUUUUUCUACAGUGGGCUUUUAGUACAUCUCGUGUUCUCAUUAGUUUUAUAUUUGAGUAUAAUUUUCUUUUAGUACUAAUACUUAGAUGUACAUAUUUUUGAAUAUGUUCCACAAGAACAGUACAAUGCCAAAUUAAAAAGAUUAUUAUACUUUCCGCUUCUGAUUUUCCAAUUCAGCAGCUCCAACUCAUCCCCCCAUGUGUAUUUUAUAUUAAAAUCAUCAGGAUGUACAGGUUCUGGAACUCUUCCUUUACAUGUAUUACGAUUUUUUAAAAAACGUUCCAAUUUGUUAAAAGUUUUAUUUGUUUUAAUAAUUGGCUGUGCCGUGAACAAUUUUGGUCUGCAGCGGCGGUGGCACUGUGAUUAUAAGUUUUAAUUAGUACAUCUAAUUUUGGACAUCCAAAUUCUUCAAUGUUAACACUCAGAUGCCCAUAAUUUAUUUUAUUUAAAUAUGUCUUUUCACGGACACCACCUUUGUAAGCUACUUUCCCAUUCAUAGAAUCGGCGGUACGACAAAGGUACUCCAAUAUACGAAAAAUUUCCUUAGAUUCCAAAUCAUCUUUGUAAUCUCUGAAAUCUAAUCCAUGCAGGUGAUUUCUUAACCACACCGCCGUUCGUCGGUCUUUAUCAGACAGGGAUCUCAACGAAUCCACUUUAAAGUAAUGUAAAUACGUACGUUCAGAAUUCGUGUAUUAUUAUGGCCAAUUCUUUGGGAACAAACUGCAUGUUGACAUUGAACCCAUAAAAAAAAUUUUACCUCCAUUUGUGUGCAGUGAGCAGGUCACUUAUUAUUUAAUAAUUGGCUGUGUCGUGAACAAUUUGUUAAAAUUUUUAUUUGUUUGGCUUCUGACGUAAAUUAACAAUUAUUUUUCUGCAGUGGGCUUUUAGUACAUCUCGUGUUCUCAUUAGUUUUAUAUUUGAGUAUAAUUUUCUUUUAGUACUAAUACUUAGAUGUACAUAUUUUUGUAUAUGUCCACAAGAACAGUUCAAUGCCAAAUUAAAAAGAUUAUUAUACUUUCCGCUACUGAUUUUCCAAUUCAGCAGCUCCAACUCAUCCCCCCAUGUGUAUUUUAUAUUAAAAUCAUCAGGAUGUACAGGUUCUGGAACUCUUCCUUUACAUGUAUUACGAUUUUUUAAAAAACGUUCCAAUUUGUUAAAAGUUUUAUUUGUUUUAAUAAUUGGCUGUGCCGUGAACAAUUUUGGUCUGCAGCGGCGGUGGCACUGUGAUUAUAAGUUUUAAUUAGUACAUCUAAUUUUGGACAUCCAAAUUCUUCAA